rnacentral:rRNA from 1 species
AGAGUUUGAUCCUGGCUCAGGACGAACGCUGGCGGCGUGCUUAACACAUGCAAGUCGAACGAGGUAGCAAUACCUAGUGGCGGACGGGUGAGUAACACGUAGGUAACCUGCCUUGUAGUGGGGGAUACCCAUCCGAAAGGAUGGCUAAUACCGCAUACCCUUUGCCGUUGUAAUACGGUUCAGGAAAGAUUUAUCGCUAUGAGAGGGGCCUACGCAUGAUUAGCUAGUUGGUGAGGUAACGGCUCACCAAGGCGACGAUCAUUAGCUGGUCUGAGAGGACGAUCAGCCACACUGGAACUGAGACACGGUCCAGACUCCUACGGGAGGCAGCAGUGGGGAAUUUUCCGCAAUGGGCGAAAGCCUGACGGAGCAACGCCGCGUGGGUGAUGAAGUAUUUCGGUACGUAAAACCCUUUCAGCAGGGACGAACACAAUGACGGUACCUGCAGAAGAAGCAUCGGCUAACUACGUGCCAGCAGCCGCGGUA